UAAGGAAUAUUGGACAAUGGACGCAAGUCUGAUCCAGCCAUGCCGCGUGAAGGAUGAAUGCCCUCUGGGUUGUAAACUUCUUUUAUAGGGGAAGAAAGAUACUUUUUUUAAGGUAGUUGACGGUACCCUAUGAAUAAGCACCGGCUAACUCCGUGCCAGCAGCCGCGGUAAUACGGAGGGUGCAAGCGUUAUCCGGAUUUACUGGGUUUAAAGGGUGCGUAGGCGGGCAUGUAAGUCAGUGGUGAAAUACCGGAGCUUAACUUCGGAACUGCCAUUGAUACGAUAUGUCUUAAAUAUUGUGGAGGUAAGCGGAAUAUGUCAUGGAGCGGUGAAAAGCAUAGAGAUGACAUAGAACACCGAUUGCGGAGGCAGCUUGCGACGCAAAUAUUGACGCUGAG
rnacentral:rRNA from 1 species